GGGAAAGUAGGGGAUCGAAAGACCUUGCGCUUUUGGAGCGGCCGAUGUCUGCUUAGCUAGUUGGUGGGGUAAUGGCCUACCAAGGCGACGAUCAGUAGUUGGUCUGAGAGGACGACCAGCCACACUGGGACUGAGACACGGCCCAGACUCCUACGGGAGGCAGCAGUGGGGAAUUUUGGACAAUGGGCGCAAGCCUGAUCCAGCAAUGCCGCGUGAGUGAAGAAGGCCUUCGGGUUGUAAAGCUCUUUCAGUCGAGAAGAAAAGGCUGCAGUGAAUAACUGUAGUUUAUGACGGUAUCGACAGAAGAAGCACCGGCUAACUACGUGCCAGCAGCCGCGGUAAUACGUAGGGUGCGAGCGUUAAUCGGAAUUACUGGGCGUAAAGGGUGCGCAGGCGGUUUUGUAAGUCAGAUGUGAAAUCCCCGGGCUUAACCUGGGAAUUGCGUUUGAAACUACAAGGCUAG
rnacentral:rRNA from 1 species